CUAUGAUGAUAAAGUUGCUUGCCAAAUGAUAUUGGAUUAGAUGGGUAUGAAAGACUAUCAGAUAGGCAAGACAAAAGUUUUCGUAAGAGCUGGUCAAAUGGCUGAGUUGGAUGCAAGAAGAGCAGAGGUUCUUGGAAAUGCAGCUAGAGUCCUUCAGAGGCAAAUACGUACACAUAUUGCACGCAAGGAAUUUAAAGAGUUGCGUCAAGCUGCAGUCUGUUUGCAAUGUAAUUUGAGAGGUACCCUGUAUUCUCUCUUAAUAUACUUGUUUAGUAGUUCAUAACCUUAAUCAGUCCCUUGUAAGUACAAGCUUUUUUCCUUAGUGGAUAUUAUACAGACACAUCCCUUAUAAGGUUCAUUUAUCUUUCAGUACUGAUACUAGAUUGGCAAACUUUAGGAUGUCUCCUUUAUGCUUAUUAUCUUCCUAAUAAUUAGAACCUUAAUGGUGGAAAGCAAUCAUAUGUCUAGCUUGCAUCUCUAACACCUCUAUUUGGCCUAUCUGGAUAGUUGAUACUAUAAUUAGAAUUUGUGACGCAUUAGAACUUUGCGAAAGUAGAUUUCCUUUUCAUUAUGGGUUGGCUAUGUUAAGUUUUUAUUGUUGAAUUUAUAGAUUCAUCUGGUUCUUUUCAAUGAUAAAUAGGAAUAUUGGCCCGGAAGCUCUAUGAGCAGUUGCGUCGUAAAGCAGCAGCUCUGAAAAUAGAAAAGAACUUCAAAGGAUACAUUGCUAGGAAAUCUUUCUUAAGUGUACGAUCGUCUGCUAUAAUAAUACAGAUAGGUUUAAGGGCUAUGAAGGCUCGUGAUGAAUUUAGAUUUAGAAAGCAAACAAAGGCUGCAAUUCAUAUCCAGGUUAAUUUGCGCCGGCAAAUUACAUUUUCAUAUUAUAAAAAGUUGCAAAAGGCUGCAAUUGUUACUUAGUGUGGUUGGAGGAGAAGGGUUGCUAGGAAGGAACUUAGAAUGCUCAAAAUGGCUGCAAGAGAAACAGGGGCCCUUAAGAAAGCAAAGGACAAACUAGAGAAGCGUGUAGAAGAACUUCCAUGGCGUUUGCAAAUUGAGAAGCAUUUGAGAGUAACAUAAUUAUGAUAGAUUUUUACAUAUCAGUUUUAAGUAGCUGAUAUACACAAGAAACCAAGGAGUAACUAACACAUAUUCAAAUUCAGGGGUAGGGUUCAGGUUGGGGUUUGAUCCAUCGGCGCCUCAGAACAGUGCAGGAGUUGCUGAGCCUCCAGGACAACCAGAAAACAAUCAAGACAGAGUAGCCAACCCCGUGCAGAUUCCUGGGCAAGCUGACAUUCAACAAGCAGAAGGCGGUCCAAACCCCAGUUCCAUGAAUUCAUUCAGUUCUAUGUUAUUAUGGAUCUUAGGAGGUGCUUCAUCUGAGGGUCUCAACUCGUUUUUUUCAAUGUUCAGAGAUGUUAGAGACCAAGGACAAGUUUUUGUCGAAACUCCUCACGAUGAAAACCGUGAGAAUAAGGAUAAUGACAGAUAGUGGUAGAACAUUAAAUUUUGAUCAUAAGUACUUGUUAAUACUUAAUAUAGGAAUAUUGUACGGCAUAUCAUAUAGGUGACUGAACUUUCUCUCUCUUUGGUCCAAAUAAAAAUAAAACUAACGAAAAAGAAUGUGUAUAUAAUGUAUAUGUAUAUUCUUUAUAGCUUUUUUUUUUCUUUCAUAAAUAUUGAAGGUUUGAUGUCUA